rnacentral:rRNA from 1 species
AACGAACGCUGGCGGCAUGCCUAACACAUGCAAGUCGAACGAACACUUCGGGGUUAGUGGCGCACGGGUGCGUAACGCGUGGGAAUCUGCCCUUUGCUUCGGAAUAACUCAGGGAAACUUGUGCUAAUACCGGAUGAUGUCUUCGGACCAAAGAUUUAUCGGCAAGGGAUGAGCCCGCGUAGGAUUAGGUAGUUGGUGGGGUAAAGGCCUACCAAGCCGACGAUCCUUAGCUGGUCUGAGAGGAUGAUCAGCCACACUGGGACUGAGACACGGCCCAGACUCCUACGGGAGGCAGCAGUGGGGAAUAUUGGACAAUGGGCGCAAGCCUGAUCCAGCAAUGCCGCGUGAGUGAUGAAGGCCCUCGGGUCGUAAAGCUCUUUUACCAGGGAUGAUAAUGACAGUACCUGGAGAAUAAGCUCCGGCUAACUCCGUG